GUGUUGCAGAUUCCCCAUGCGGGAGAGACUGAAAAGCCUGCUUCCAAGAGCUUUAUGAUGAUGCUGGAACAUGUCUAGGCAUUCUCUAAUCAGUUCUGGUUCACUAACCUUGUGUCUAGAGGAAAGCUGUUCAACUAGGAAUACGUCAUAAAGUGGCCAUCAGAGCCUCAGUCGCUUUUCCUUCGGCUACUUUUGUGGUUUGGUUCCUUUGCCCAUGGUGUCCAGUGAGGAGCGAUGCUGUAAAGAAGGUUAAUCUGAAGUCACUGACAAUGCGAGUUUCCAAAGAUCAGGACACUGAGCCUACAGGAAUCCCAGAGUGAUAGACCAUGCCGAGUUCUGCAACCAGAGGAGCAUUGAUGGCCUCAGAAACAAAGAGUGACCUUUUAGACCCAAUCCAGGAUUCUUGUCCCAACCAGGAGCAGCAGUUCCACACUGACUUCUUCAGCAAUAUUACAUCUAGAUUCUUUUGAUCUAAUACUCUUCACAAGGCUGAUUGAGAAUUGGUAAAGGAAACCUUCCUCACAAUUAGAAGUACCUCAAAGUAUGGUGGGCAGCCUCAGGAGGCCAGCCAUGGAGGACAUUACUUCCUCUCCAGGAUAGCUGGACUUUUAGAGAGGAAGGACUUACUUCCUCAUUGCUGCUUCAAGAAAAGACACACAUAGUUCCAGACUCUUACCGGGAAGAGACCCAUGGACAUCAGAAAGCAAACAGAGAAGCUGGAUCCUCAACAUAUCCCUAAUUUCCUUAGUCUCUCUCAAGAUUUUGAGAUGGAGGUCUCUCAUUCCCAGGGGGAGAGUUCAUUCACUCUAUGUAUUGCCCAUAUUCAGCCCAUAUAACUUCUCCAAUUUCUAUUUGUUAUUUGCUUGUAUAAGUGAGUAUAUUUGCUGUUGACUAUUUAUGAUGGUCUUUUGUACAACUGAAAUUUGGUGGGAAGAAGUCAAGUCUGAAUAGAAGCUUAGAGGAACCUGUCCCUUUUAAAAGAUAAUACUCAAGAAAGUGGCUUGAAUUUAAAAAAAAUUCCCCUAGAUUAACAGUGGUGUGUGUGUGGCGGGGUGGGGGCACUGUGAAGCUUAAUAUAAUUCUAGUCUGGGACUCCUUUUUAUGAAAGAACAGCACGGUUAUCCUACAGCCUCUUCUCUAGGCAGGAAUCAAAGUCUCCCUUAGAGCUGCAUGGGUAAGAUCCCAGAGAUAUUUAUCCAUGCUUCCCAGAAGCCACAUUUAUACAACCCAUAUCUAUACACAUACCCCUUACAUGGGCAGCAGACCUACCCUGCCAAUUCAAUAUCCUGCCAUAAUUCCUGAAGCCUAGUGAAAACCAAUUUGACUGGUACAGCCUCAGCUUCACCCACACCCCAGGAUGCCAUAUGCCAAGGUUAAAAAACCCAGAGACUGGGCUCUAAACCUCCUCUCCCUUUUGAACCUCUUGAGGGGAUGUGUCAUUAGGAUUCAGUUCCCUGUGUCCCUGUCCCUCAUUCCUCACUCCUCAUUGGGCAUUUUAGAAAACACCCUCAUGAUUGAAAAAGAAAAGGAGCUAGGUCAAUUGAUAAAAGCAGUUUCCAGAGCUUUAAUGAUAGUGAAACUUUCAGAGAUCAAAGGCCAUUGAUGAGCUUGAUUUAGGGAGUAGAAAGCAAUGCUUCUGAGCCUUACUGAAAGGAUUCAAAACAGAAGUGGAGCUGGUGUAUAGUUAGCUAAUUAUACAGGCAUAUGAAAUAUCAUGGGGUAAUAGAGAGACUGUCACAAUCAAGCAGGUCACAUGAAUGUUUUUGUUUUCCAGUGCAUCUAAAAGUUGUUUAUACUAUACUGUAGUCUAUUAAGUGUGCAAUAGUAUUAUGUCCAAAAAAAUGUACAUGACAAUUUAAAAAUACCUUAUUGCUAAAAACAAAUGUUAACCAUCAUCUGAGUUUUCAGCGAAUAGUAAUCUUUUUGCUGGUGAAGGGUCUUUCCUCAAUGCUGAUUGCUGACUGAUCAGGGUGGUGGUUGCUGAAAAUUGGAGUGGCUUAUAAGACAACAAUGAAGUCUGCAGCAUCAAU